AAGAUGCAGGCUUCCCGCGGUUAGACGGAAAGACCCCGUGCACCUUUACUACAGCUUCGCACUGGCAUCAGGAUUGUGACGUGCAGGAUAGGUGGUAGGCAUCGAAACCGUGACGCUAGUCGCGGUGGAGCCUCCCUUGAGAUACCACCCUUCGCACUCUUGAUGUCUAACCGCGGUCCGUUAUCCGGAUCCGGGACCCUGCGUGGCGGGUAGUUUGACUGGGGCGGUCGCCCCCUAAAGCGUAACGGAGGCGCGCGAAGGGUGGCUCA
rnacentral:ncRNA from 2 species